UAGAAGGUUUGGUCAUGUACUAGUUG
rnacentral:piRNA from 1 species